rnacentral:rRNA from 1 species
UAGGGAAUCUUGCGCAAUGGGCGAAAGCCUGACGCAGCCAUGCCGCGUGAAUGAUGAAGGUCUUAGGAUUGUAAAAUUCUUUCAGCGGGGACGAUAAUGACGGUACCCGCAGAAGAAGCCCCGGCUAACUUCGUGCCAGCAGCCGCGGUAAUACGAAGGGGGCUAGCGUUGCUCGGAAUUACUGGGCGUAAAGGGCGCGUAGGCGGACAGUUUAGUCAGAGGUUAAAGCCCAGGGCUCAACCUUGGAAUUGCCUUUGAUACUGGCUGUCUUGAGUACGGGAGAGGUGUGUGGAACUCCGAGUGUAGAGGUGAAAUUCGUAGAUAUUCGGAAGAACACCAGUGGCGAAGGCGACACACUGGCCCGUUACUGACGCUGAGGCGCGAAAGCGUGGGGAGCAAACAGGAUUAGAUACCCGGGUAGUCC